CGGACGGGUGAGUAACGCGUGAGAAUCUAACUUCAGGACGGGGACAACAGUUGGAAACGACUGCUAAUACCCGAUGUGCCGCAAGGUGAAACCUAAUUGGCCUGGAGAAGAGCUUGCGUCUGAUUAGCUAGUUGGUAGGGUAAAAGCCUACCAAGGCGACGAUCAGUAGCUGGCCUGAGAGGAUGAGCAGCCACACUGGGACUGAGACACGGCCCAGACUCCUACGGGAGGCAGCAGUGGGGAAUUUUCCGCAAUGGGCGAAAGCCUGACGGAGCAACGCCGCGUGAGGGAGGAAGGUCUUUGGAUUGUAAACCUCUUUUCUCAAGGAAGAAGUUCUGACGGUACUUGAGGAAUCAGCCUCGGCUAACUCCGUGCCAGCAGCCGCGGUAAUACGGGGGAGGCAAGCGUUAUCCGGAAUUAUUGGGCGUAAAGCGUCCGCAGGUGGUCAGCCAAGUCUGCCGUCAAAUCAGGUUGCUUAACGACCUAAAGGCGGUGGAAACUGGCAGACUAGAGAGCAGUAGGGGUAGCAGGAAUUCCCAGUGUAGCGGUGAAAUGCGUAGAGAUUGGGAAGAACAUCGGUGGCGAAAGCGUGCUACUGGGCUGUAUCUGACACUCAGGGACGAAAGCUAGGGGA
rnacentral:rRNA from 1 species